CCCAGACUCCUACGGGAGGCAGCAGUGGGGAAUAUUGCACAAUGGGGGGAACCCUGAUGCAGCGACGCCGCGUGGGUGAAGAAGUCAUUCGUGACGUAAAGCCCUAUCAGCAGGGAAGAAAAUGACGGUACCUGACUAAGAAGCCCCGGCUAACUACGUGCCAGCAGCCGCGGUAAUACGUAGGGAGCGAGCGUUGUCCGGAAUUACUGGGUGUAAAGGGAGCGUAGGCGGGGAUGCAAGUUGGGUGUCAAAACUACCGGCUCAACUGGUAGUCGCACUCAAAACUGCAGCUCUUGAGUGAAGUAGAGGCAGGCGGAAUUCCUAGUGUAGCGGUGAAAUGCGUAGAUAUUAGGAGGAACACCAGUGGCGAAGGCGGCCUGCUGGGCUUUUACUGACGCUGAGGCUCGAAAGUGUGGGGAGCAAACAGGAUUAGAUACCCGCGUAG
rnacentral:rRNA from 1 species